GUCAAAAGAUGGACACUCCCACCGUAUACAAGGAUAAGGGGGAGAGGAACAUGGCAUUAUUCCUUGUCUACCUUAUUUGGGACAACAUUUUUUAUACUAUAUAUAUUUAAUAUGAAAUGUUCAACUCAUGCCACAUAAGACGGGUACGUGUGGGGGCUUGGGAGCCUCACAUAUUAGUUAUCAAAUGAUUCACUAAGUAUCAUUCAUGAUAGAUGAACAAGAACAAAAAAACAAAAAAAUGUUGAAGACAAAAAAAAAAAAAAGCUCGGCCAUGGAGCAAUGUUAACCGAGAGGGAGAUUGGAGAAAAAGAAAAAUUUGAGGUGUGAAAUUGUUGUAACAUUCAAGUGAUUAGCAAGGUUAAGAAGCCAAGUUGAUUAAGGCUAAAAGAGCGACGAGACGAACGGGUUACGAAUAGCCGCUAACAGGUAUGUAAAGCCUAACCUUUUUUUUGGCAUGACCUUUAUGGAACGGAUAAGUGACGUAUAUGUAUGACUCUAAAGAAAAUUCUAUUCUUAGAGCCACUAGGAUGGCCAAUGUCUUUGACUUCCCUAAGUUAUUCCAUAUGGUUUGAUAUCUAUUUAUGAUGUUCGAAGAAUCCUAGUUGGUAUGUUUUCGAAUGUUGUUCGAAAGAUAAUUGAUAUGCCUAAGGUCCUUGAUAUAUAUUUUGAUACGUACAUAUGGUUCUAAAGCCUCUAUUUGAUUUGAUCCAUAACGAUAUUUGAAAGUUGUCUAAUAUGAUUAUUACUUGAAUUUCCAAAAGAAAAUGGCUUCUGAAUCGCUUUUAGAACGUUCUGUACUUCAAAAGCUCAUAACUUUCGUAUACUAAAUCGGAUUGACCCGAAACUUGUUUCUGAGCCUUCAGAUGUCGGUAAAUAUAUUUGUCCAUUGAGUCUUGGAAUUUAUUUAUUUAUAUGCAUAUAGUUUCUCACUACUCUACUCGUGGAUGCCUCAAUGCUUCCUUCACUGAGCCCGGGCCAGGAUAUGUUAUCACGCGUAUUCCACUGCAUUGUUCGCCGUGCCUCGAUGUGAGGGGGCAGGUACACAUGUACAUGGGUUGUGGAGUAUGCUGUGCCAUGUACAUACAUUCUGAUAUGUGAUGAUGUGAUAUGAUAUGGCCAUCUGAUAUGUUAUGACAUAUGCACAUUCUGAUAUGAUAUGAUAUGUUACGGAGCUAUUCCCUACUCUGGAGUAUGCUGUGUUGUGGCGCCAGUGACGGGGUGGCGACCACGUUCUGUUCACCGAGUCCUAAAACGGGGCCGGAUAUGGCAUAUGAUUGACAUGCAUUAUCUAUGUUUUGUGAGUACAGACGUUCGUUCAGGUAACCCGCCAGUGUAGGGUACUUAUUCUGCUGUUUGGAGUACUCCUUUUGAUCCGGAGUUCAUAUUUUUGGUACCUAUCUUUUGUGAUACAUGUUUCUGUAUAUCUGAUUAUUUGGGGUACGGCGGGGCCCUGUCCCGCCAUAUAAUUCUGUCAUGGUUUGUAGAGGUCUGUAGACAUAUAUGUGGGUCAUGGGUUAUGUUUGUUCGAAUAUGUUUGUGAUUUGUGCCUUCAGCGGUCCCGUUUGCUAUUAUGGCCAAGACGGCCCAUAUGUUUGUAUAUGUAUGUAUAUCUGGGCGAUGUGUAUUCCGCCAGCCUACCGGAUUUGAUUUGAUGUUUCUGUACGGGCAACCA